rnacentral:rRNA from 1 species
AUCUAAAAUGACUCUCGGCAACGGAUAUCUCGGCUCUUGCAUCGAUGAAGAACGUAGCGAAAUGCGAUACUUGGUGUGAAUUGCAGAAUCCCGUGAACCAUCGAGUCUUUGAACGCAAGUUGCGCCCAAAGCCAUUANGCUGAGGGCACGCCUGCCUGGGUGUCACAC